ACUCCUACGGGAGGCAGCAGUGGGGAAUAUUGCACAAUGGGGGAAACCCUGAUGCAGCCAUGCCGCGUGUGUGAAGAAGGCCUUCGGGUUGUAAAGCACUUUCAGUAGGGAGGAAGGUAGUGUAGUUAACACCUGCAUUAUUUGACGUUACCUACAGAAGAAGCACCGGCUAAACUCCGUGCCAGCAGCCGCGGUAAUACGGAGGGUGCGAGCGUUAAUCGGAAUUACUGGGCGUAAAGCGCAUGCAGGCGGCCUGUUAAGUCAGAUGUGAAAGCCCGGGGCUUAACCUCGGAAUUGCAUUUGAAACUGGCAGGCUAGAGUCUUGUAGAGGGGGGUAGAAUUUCAGGUGUAGCGGUGAAAUGCGUAGAGAUCUGAAGGAAUACCAGUGGCGAAGGCGGCCCCCUGGACAAAAGACUGACGCUCAGAUGCGAAAGCGUGGGGAGCAAACAGGAUUAGAUACCCUGGUAGGAUAGCG
rnacentral:rRNA from 1 species